rnacentral:tRNA from 2 species
AAGAUUUUAAGUUAAUUAAACUGAAGACUUUCAAGGUCUUUUAUAAAUAUAUAAGUUUAAGUCUUG